AUUCUGCCCAUGCGGGGAAGGAUGAGAAGCUUCGACUAAGGUUCGACUCGAGCGCCAGCGAGAGAGCGUUGCCGCAGGCAACGACCCGUAGGGCGUAGCGCGCAGCGCUGAGUAAUCCUUCCCCCACCACCA
rnacentral:sRNA from 1 species